CCCCUAGAGGAUGAUCAACUGAUCUCUCACAUCUUUGCGGGGCUCGACAUGGAGUACCAGCCGCUGGUCUCAGCGCUGGAUGCUCGCACCAUCCGGGUCACGCUCGAUGAGCUCUUUGCUCAGAUGAGCAACUUCGACC
rnacentral:snoRNA from 1 species